rnacentral:rRNA from 1 species
ACAGCAGUAGCCACGGGAAUACGAAGGGGGCUAGCGUUGUUCGGAAUUACUGGGCGUAAAGCGCACGUAGGCGGACAUUUAAGUCAGGGGUGAAAUCCCGGGGCUCAACCCCGGAACUGCCUUUGAUACUGGGUGUCUAGAGUAUGGAAGAGGUGAGUGGAAUUCCGAGUGUAGAGGUGAAAUUCGUAGAUAUUCGGAGGAACACCAGUGGCGAAGGCGGCUCACUGGUCCAUUACUGACGCUGAGGUGCGAAAGCGUGGGGAGCAAACAGGAUUAGAUACCCGAGUAGUCCCUGUCUCUUAUAA